rnacentral:lncRNA from 1 species
GUUUAGUUCAGGGUUUACAUCUUACUGGGCAUGAACAAGAGCCCCUGCUCCUUGGCCAUAGCCAAAUCCCUUGGGCCCAAAGUUCUUUGCAUAGCAUCCUACAAAGGAAAGGGAGGAAGGAUAGUUAGUGCAAGUCCAUUAAGCUUUGCUAGCACUGCUUAAGACCCACUCAACAAACCCCCAUAAAUUAAACUGCUGUGUAAAAGAGCUCAACUUAUUUAAGAUGUUAAAUGUGUCAUGUACUAAAUAUCUUAAAGCUGCAAAGACAAGUCCACACAUUCUGGCCCUAUAGUGUUCAGCGUGGUCCUGCUGAGUUGCAAGCAUGAGUCAGGCCAGGUAAGGUAUGUAUUUGUCUGUUUUCUUCCAUAUACUUACGCUUUGCUCAAGACAUGAAGGCAAAAGAUGGCUAUUUGUGGUGUUUUUAUCUGGUGGGGAGUUUUAAAUGAUCAGGAACUUAACUGUGGUUCUCUGUCAUCUAUAAGCAUCUUGGGAUAUUUUAUUUUCAGAAAAUAGUGGCAUACUUUUCUUUUUUUUUUUUUAAUGCCAGUGACAUUUCAUUAAACAAGAACCAGUGUGGAAUAUUCAUAUGGACAGCAGUAACUGAAAUGAAUUUUACCUUUACAAUAGAUUUCACCUUCUUUUUCAGUCAGAGUUGUUGAUUCAAGACUCUUCCCACACUUUGCACAUCGGAAACAGUUUUUGUGCCAGGGCUGGAAGAGAUGAAUGUGUCAGCAUGUUUGAGAGGCCUGUUUCCUACAGUUCAAUUUAGAUGUAUGGCAAGAAGUGGCUCAGGAUGAUCAUCUCAAAGCAAGCUCCUGACUUCUGUGGUUCAGCUCCAAUGAGAAGGCUGAAACCAGUCCUCAGUAUCUGCACUCUUGAUCACCCACAGAAAGGCUGUUUCCCUAAGAGCAGCCUCAGUCCUAACCACAAGCCCAGUCUGCUCCUUUAAAGAGACCAUCUUUUUUCUGGCCAAGAACAGCGCAGCUCAAAGAGGUUAGCUGGUAACUUUUCCAAAUCCACACACUGAAUUCGCAUCAGGUGUCCUGACUCGGAUUCCUGCUUUUUUCACUAUACUGAAUAACCUGGAGAUUCCCUUACAGUCUGGCCUUUUAAAGUUUAACCUUCAGGAGUGCCCCCUAUGAAAACAAGUUCUUUUAAACAGAAAAAUGACUUGUCAAAUAAGGGAAUCACUUCAAAAAAGUUAAUGAUUCUGAUGGAAAUGCAUUUAAAGAAAAGUUUCAUAUAAGACAGUGAUUUGUAAGACAUCACCCAAGCAAGGAAUGUGGAAGGGUUAGGGGAGAAAGGGAGCAGAGAGAAGUCAUUUGCUGUUAUUAAUUCCAAAUAGCACUUUACCUUUCCAGCUCCAAUUAUCUUCUCGGCAGCAUAUACAGAAUCCCCACAUCUGGAACACUUCUCAGCACCUCCAUAUUUCUGAGCAAAUUUAGAAGUGUU